rnacentral:lncRNA from 1 species
AGACAAAAUGUCUCAAGAAGCCUUGAGAGGCGGGAUUUUGGAACCCGGGCGCUGACGAGCUUCCGCCAUUGGUGUGAUCGCGGACCUAGAAACUUGGUCCGUCCCAUACAGGUGUAGAAGUCGGAUUUGGAGAAUGCUGACGGGUGUCCGGUCAAGGUUAGGCCCCAGGUAGGUCCGCUUUCCGGACGUGGGCAGGGUAGCCCCGAGACUAACCUAUGGAGUGAACCUGGCCAGGGGACCCUACUUGUCAGAUAGGGAGCUCCGAGCCGACCUUUAGAUCUGACCUCAGCGUUUACAUGAUACUCAUGUAUUUCCUUAGAUCAAGUCAGCCUAGAUCAGGUGUUCUUCCAGAGGCCGUAUUGAGAUCAUUUUUAUUUGCAGCCUGUGCAUUUUCUCAUCUCGGGUGAUGGCCUCACAGAUGUACACAUAUGUAAAACCGUAUCAAACUGCACACUUUAAAUAUGUGCAACUUAUUGCAUGUCAGUUAUACUCAAAGCGGUUACCAAAAACAGAAAACAAGCUUUUCCUACCCCAGAGAAGAAUUUAAAGGGUAAAAUGAUCAAAGGAUUUCAGUUCUAUCAAUGUUUACCUGUCUGAUCACUUACGUAUCAGACACAAUGCUAAGCCUAGGACGAUUGUCUUAGCUCACGAAUAACACUUACUGUACAACUAUUUCUACUGGCAUAGGCUUUGGAACCAUAUAGGUCUGUGUUGUACUCUUGCUUCCAACACUUGUGAACGAUAUGGGUGAGUAAUUAAUGUCAUAAGGGCCUGAAUUUCCUUGUCCCUAAAGUGAACAUAAUACAACCUAAUUGAUGCUGUAAGAGUUCAACAAAUGGUACCCUUUUUACAUUAUAGUUUCAAAAGUAUAGCUACACAGUACUAUUUGUAAGCAAUGUUUCUAGAGAUUUACGACAUAUACCCAAAAAACAUGUCUUUAAUGAUGGCCUGGUAAACUCCUGCUGGUUGCCAGAAAAAGGGGUUCUGAGGCAAUCUAUGGGUACCUUUUUUCUUUAAAUUUGUGUCCUUUAUGAAACCAUGCAUAGUAUGGAAAUUACUGAAUUCAGAAUAUAGCAAGGUUAAAGAGGCUGAAAAAAACCUAGAACAUUUGAUAUAAAAAAAGGAAGCAUGCCUAAGAAACCUGGUUUAUUUAAAUGAGAUUUCGUUCUUAUAAAGCAAGUGAAUUUCUGUUUUACAAGUUAACCAUAUACUGUACCUCAUCUUUCAAAUGAGAAGUUAGCUACCUCACCCAAAAAUAUAAGUGCACAUUGCAUUUUAGAGAAAACUUAUAUUCUGAUAGUCCAUAUUUACUGUAUCUUGUUUAACAUACCAGGACAAGACUUUUGAAUAGGCACUUGGCACCAGAAAAAAUAAUUUACCUAUUAUGAAAAUGUCAUGUUGUUAAAAUACCAUGCCAUGAUUUAGCAUUACAAGUGCUUUAAACAGCUGAGUAAAACACCCUUUUACUCCUUUUUACUUAUGUCCCCUCACCAGUUAUAUAAAAGCAGUUCUAGAAAAGUGGCCUUAGUAUAUUUAAAAGUCUAAUUCAUUCCUUCAUUCAUGCCUUUGAAUAUGCACUCUAUUAUAGGCACUAUGCUGAAUUUGCAAAGAUGAAGGAAACUAAACUACUGUUUUUGGGAAACUUUAUCUCCUAAUGGACAAACAAGGCUUAAGGGUCCAACUAAACAUUGCAGUGGCUCAUCACAGAGCUGGAAGGAGCCUAUAUAUAGAACUAGAGGCACAGUGGGUGGCCCUGAAUACCUUACAGGAAGCAGACUGAUUUUCUCAUCCAAAAGGCAUGCUACAUGAUGCAGAACAGUCAGUGGGGCCCCUGCAGUCAGGCCUCUCCCAUGGAAUCCCUGAUCUGCACAAUCAGUAAGGAACAGGAAGACUUCUGGGAUUCAGAUAGUGACCCCAUGUUGCCCAUUCCCUAGAUAAUGGGGACUUCAAGACAAAGCUCUAGAAAAAUGAAAGGAAAAAGCAAAAAGUAUCUAAGUCCUUAGCUGCUCCAAAAAAAAGGCCUGCAGCUGCAGGCUGUUGACCACUAAUCCCUGGAAAUGCAUCAAGUAGACUGAAGCUAGGUCUGAGAAGAAAUCAAGGCAGGUGUAUACGGCCUACUGCAUCUCUUUUCCCAAAUUACGUUCAAGAAAUACAGAAGUUCUCAGAUAUUGCUCUUUCCUCAUUUUCCUCCUACCUCUUAGCUGUUCUUCCUAUGGCCCUUGCACACUGAGUUGCCUGUUGCUCUGUCCAAGUCCUGCUAAUUCCAUGUUCUUUUUUUUUUUGAGACGGAGUCUCACUUCGUCACCAGGCUGGAGUGCAGUGGCACGAUCCUGGCUCACUGCAACCUCUGCCUCCUGGAUUCAAGUGAUUCUUCUGGCUCAGCCUCCUGAGUAGCUGGGAUUACAGGCGUGCGCCAACACGCCCAGCUAAUUUUGUAUAUUUAGUAGAGACGGGGUUUCACCGUGUUAGCCAGGCUGAUCUCGAACUCCCAACCUCAGGUGAUCUGCCCGCCUCGGUCUCCCAAAGUGCUGGGAUUACAGGUAUGAGCCACCAUGCCCAGCCCUAAUUCCACUUUCUAUUAAUAUUUCUGAAGUCUGUGUAUUUUCACCUUUACUUAAUGCAAUGCUUUAAAAUGGUCGAGGUAUAUUCCCUACCUAGAAGAACUCAUACUUAUACACAGUGGGACACAUACACGGACUUACAUACCACAUAAAAUUCAUUGACAGAACACAGGAAUAAACCAAUGGUUGAUUUAUAAAAUGUAAUAUUUUGUACCAAAGGUUUUCAAACUUCUUGGUCUUGGGAUUCCUUUACACGCUUAUUAUAUUGAUCUUAUCAGAAAUUAAAACAAUUUUUUUUGGAAAAUUUAAGUCAUUUAGAAAGGAUAAACUUACUACAUGUUAACAUUUUUAUGGAAAAUAACUAUAUUUUCUAAAUAAAAAAUAAUUUAGUGAAAAGAAUGGCAUUGUUUUACAUUUUAAAAAUGUCAGAUCUACUUUUGCUUAUACAGAAUCUUUAGUCACAAUCAGUCCAUUCCACCUUUGAACUGAAAAUGGUAUUAAUAGCGUGCAAAAAUGUAAGGGGGCCUCUCCCUCUCCCUCUCCCUCUCCGUCUCCCUCUCCCUCUCCCUCUCCCUCUCCCUCUCACUCUCCCCACGGUCUCCCUCUCAUGCGGAGCCGAAGCUGGACUGUACUGCUGCCAUCUCGGCUCACUGCAACCUCCCUGCCUGAUUCUCCUGCCUCAGCCUGCCGAGUGCCUGCGAUUGCAGGCACGCGCCGCCACACCUGACUGGUCUUGGUGGAGACGGGGUUUCGCUGUGUUGGCCGGGCCGGUCUCCAGCCCCUGACCGCGAGUGAUCCGCCAGCCUUGGCCUCCCGAGGUGCCAGGAUUGCAGACGGAGUCUCGUUCACUCAGUGCUCAAUGGUGCCCAGACUGGAGUGCAGUGGCGUGAUCUCGGCUCGCUACGGCCUACACCUCCCAGCCGCCUGCCUUGGCCUCCCACGGUGCCGAGAUUGCAGCCUCUGCCCGGCCGCCACCCCGUCUGGGAAGUGAGGAGCGUCUCUGCCUGGCUGCCCAUCGUCUGGGAUGUGAGGAGCCUCUCUGCCUGGCUGCCCAGUCUGGAAAGUGAGGAGCGUCUGCGCCCGGCCGCCAUCCCAUCUAGGAAGUGAGGAGCGCCUCUUCCCAGCCGCCAUCACAUCUAGGAAGUGAGGAGCGUCUCUGCCCGGCCGCCCAUCGUCUGAGAUGUGGGGAGCGCCUCUGCCCCGCCGCCCCAUCUGGGAUGUGAGGAGUGCCUCUGCCCGGCCGAGACCCCGUCUGGGAGGUGA